rnacentral:rRNA from 1 species
UACAGAGGCCCCAAGCGUUACUGAGAAUCACUGGGUUUAAAGGGUGCGUAGGUGGUCCGUUAUGUUCGUUGUGAAAUCCCUGGGCUCAACCCAGGAAAUGCUUCGAAUACUGGCGGACUUGAGGCUAGUAGAGGUCACUGGAACUGACGGUGGAGCGGUGAAAUGCGUAGAUAUCGUCAGGAACGCCGAUGGUGAAGACAGGUGACUGGGCUAGUUCUGACACUGAGGCACGAAAGCGUGGGGAGCGAACGGG